rnacentral:rRNA from 1 species
UACGGGGGGGGCAAGCGUUGUUCGGAAUUACUGGGCGUAAAGGGCUCGUAGGCGGCCAACUAAGUCAGACGUGAAAUCCCUCGGCUUAACCGGGGAACUGCGUCUGAUACUGGAUGGCUUGAGUGUGGGAGAGGGAUGCGGAAUUCCAGGUGUAGCGGUGAAAUGCGUAGAUAUCUGGAGGAACACCGGUGGCGAAGGCGGGUCUCUGGGCCAUUACUGACGCUGAGGAGCGAAAGCGUGGGGAGCGAACAGG